GACGAACGCUGGCGGCGUGCCUAAUACAUGCAAGUCGAACGCUGAAGGAGGAGCUUGCUUCUCUGGAUGAGUUGCGAACGGGUGAGUAACGCGUAGGUAACCUGCCUGGUAGCGGGGGAUAACUAUUGGAAACGAUAGCUAAUACCGCAUAAGAGUAGAUGUUGCAUGACAUUUGCUUAAAAGGUGCAAUUGCAUCACUACCAGAUGGACCUGCGUUGUAUUAGCUAGUUGGUGGGGUAACGGCUUACCAAGGCGACGGUACAUAGCCGACCUGAGAGGGUGAUCGGCCACACUGGGACUGAGACACGGCCCAGACUCCUACGGGAGGCAGCAGUAGGGAAUCUUCGGCAAUGGACGGAAGUCUGACCGAGCAACGCCGCGUGAGUGAAGAAGGUUUUCGGAUCGUAAAGCUCUGUUGUAAGAGAAGAACGAGUGUGAGAGUGGAAAGUUCACACUGUGACGGUAUCUUACCAGAAAGGGACGGCUAACUACGUG
rnacentral:rRNA from 1 species